GCCAAGCCUCAGCGCUGCGCAAAGUAGUAGUGUAAGCCGUUCGUGGACGGACUAACGCCGAUGGAAGAGUGGCGGCGUCCACUGGCGGUGUGUGCGUCAAGAGGCUCUCUCUCUCUCUCUUUCUCUCCUUCUGAUCCUUCUGUCCCUCUCCUCCCCCCUACCGUUUCAGCUAGCCGGCCGCCUCUCUUACUACUUGCCUGCCUUCUCUUCUACAUACACAUGCACUUGGUGCAAUUGCAGAAAUUUUCAAACCGCGGAACGUACGGUGAUGCAGGCUUGAUGUCACUUCGAUUUCAACGUUCUCAAUCGUCAUCGCGAACUGUGAUCAACAUCGAAAAAACCACGCACUCACGUCAUAAGUGUAGACAAAAAAAAAAAGAUUGAUUGCUUUUCACACGAUCUAAUCGAUUCCAGAAUCUC